CGGGAUUGAAAUGUAGAUGACCGCUCCUGAAAGGGAGUUUUCCUUCGGGACAUCUAUGUAGGUGCUGCAUGGUUGUCGUCAGCUCGUGCCGUGAGGUGUCAGGUUAAGUCCUAUAACGAGCGCAACCCCUAUUGUUAGUUACCAGCACGUGAUGGUGGGGACUCUAGCAAGACUGCCGGUGUAAACCGUGAGGAAGGUGGGGAUGACGUCAAAUCAGCACGGCCCUUACAUCCGGGGCGACACACGUGUUACAAUGGUAAGGACAAAGGGCAGCUACCUGGCGACAGGAUGCGAAUCUCUAAACCUUAUCACAGUUCGGAUCGGAGUCUGCAACUCGACUCCGUGAAGCUGGAUUCGCUAGUAAUCGCGCAUCAGCCAUGGCGCGGUGAAUACGUUCCCGGGCC
rnacentral:rRNA from 1 species